CGUUUGUCAACGGAACCCCUGCUUCUGCGCGGAUUCUGCGCAGCUGCAGCCAAGCGUCUACACUGCUUUUAUGAGCUGUAACACUCACCGCGAAGGUCUGCAGCUUCACUCCUGAAGCCAGCAAGACCACGAACCUACCAGAAGGAAGAAACUCUGAACACAUCCGAACAUCAGAAGGAACAAACUCCAGACGCGCCACCUUAAGAGCUGUAACACUCACCGCGAAGGUCCGCAGCUUCAUUCUUCAAGUCAGUAAGACCAAGAACCCACCAAUUCCAGACACACUACCUUGGCUCACGGCAACUUCUGUCUCCUGGGUUCAAAGAUGGAGUCUCACUGUUUCCCAGGCCGGUCUUUAACUUCUGAGCUCAAGUGAUCCUCCUACCUUGGCCUCCCAAGGUGUUGGGAUUACACACCAUGCCUGGCUGGCUAGCCUCUUUGAGGAUAGGAGUCUACAUGGAGAAAGACGCCCAGCUGACAUCCAGCACCAACUUGCGAGGCCCAGUUAAACAUCUGUGAACUGGUCUUGAUCACCAGAGAGUUUAUCUGGACUAUCAAGAACCCACCAACCUUCCAGGUGACUGUCACCACGUGAAUGAGCUCAGGUGAAACCAGCAGAAGAACCUCCCAGCUAAAUCCAGCCCAAAUACU